UUAUAGUUAAUAUCUUUUAGAAUUUUUGAGUACUAUUUUAGUAGUUUAAUGUUAAAUUUGAAUAGAGUGCUUAUUGUGCAUGAGAAUUUUUGUAGAGAAAUCACUCAUAUCAGCCGUCCUAAGCCGAAGCAUAACAGUUACAGGAAGAAAAGGCAAAAUUGUGAGGUUAUCGAUUUCAUUUCCAUUUCAUCUUCCUCAGAAAAAAGAGAAACCCUAACUCUGCCUUGUUCGAUUACAGCCUUCAUAAGUCAUAACUCAGAAUCAGAGCCUCCAUUCCAGCCCCAGGACACCGCGUCUCCCCCACGAUUUCCUCAAGACUUAAUUGGUGGAAGGAAUUUUACAUUUUGCAGAUUCCUUGAUUGAAGGUUUCAACCGCUAUUAUGGUAAGGCUUGUUUUUCACCGAAACCUUGAGCAAUUAUGUUCUUAAAACAAGCCCUGAUUCAGUUAGUGUCUACAAUUGUGAAUGAGAUUUUGUUGUUGUGGAAGCAGUUGUUUCAGUAAUUCAUGU